UACGGGGGGGGCAAGCGUUGUUCGGAAUUACUGGGCGUAAAGGGCUCGUAGGCGGCCAACUAAGUCGGAUGUGAAAUCCCCAGGCUUAACCUGGGAACUGCAUCCGAUACUGGAUGGCUUGAAUCCGGGAGAGGGAUGCGGAAUUCCUGGUGUAGCGGUGAAAUGCGCAGAUAUCAGGAGGAACACCGGUGGCGAAGGCGGAUCUCUGGGCCAUUACUGACGCUGAGGAGCGAAAGCGUGGGGAGCGAACAGG
rnacentral:rRNA from 1 species